CAAACUGUCGCCGCCUACCCACUACAAAAAAAAAGAGGAUUAACGACACAAUGAUAAGGUGGUUUAGAACCGCUGCUGCAUGUUCCUAAGUAAAAUUUUCAUUCUCUCACUUAUAUAUUUUUGUGAUUCCCACAAGAAAGAAAGAACACGAGAAAGCGCUGAAAUCCUUCUUCUCCAAACUGUUGCCGUCUCAAAUCACGAUGUCUUCUCCAAAACCCUUUCAUCUCCAAAUCGUCUUCUGCAAACCAUCGUGAGAGUUCCAACUCGUCAUAUCUCCUGUUCAUCUCCGUCGUGACCGAGUUCGAGACACCGAUUGAUACAAAUCCCUUCGAUUUCUACACAUAGUUGCUUCCAAUCUCUUCGAUUUCGAAGCUCAAACCUUCAAUCUAUUUGAUUCGCAGCCCAAUCCUCCAAUCCCUUUGAUUGCGCUAAUCAGAUUGUAAGUACAAUUUUUUUUAAAAGUAAUUGAGAAUUCCAAUGUCAAAGAAAGAUAAAGAAUUUAAUGAGUUAUUUAGCUUGUGUGGUUUAUUUAACACUUAAAUCAAAUUUGAAGUACGUAUUUGAGUAGUCAUUUCCUUUCAUGUUGUGAGCUGUUAUGUCGUAUACAUGAGAUUGAGUUUAUUUAACAUAUUACUGCUCUGAGAAUAAUAUGAAUUUGUACUGAGCAUCUGCAAUGCAUGGGUGUUAAUUGUAGAACUUAUUGCAUGUAAAUAAGCAUAGACUGUGGAGCUGUUUCUUGGUUGGUAACUUGUUUAAUCAAAUACCCUGUAUUGCUACAUAUAAGGUAUAGAAUAGAAAGGAAAGUAAGGAGGGAAAUAGAGCCAUUGUAACUGAAAUAUAUAUCUAAUUAAUCUCGUCUAAUUGACUAACUAAUUCCUCUAAUUGUUCCUAACUGACAUCCACUCUUACUAACUACUCUUAAACAUUCAUUUCCCUUCUAAACCGUAGCAUAAUCUGGAUGAUUCAUUGCUCAACAGUUCAAUCAUUGUUAAUUUGUUACCCUUAUUAUUCUGAUAAAUAUUGAAUUUAAAGUUUUCAAAACACAAGUAGCUUGCACCUGAGCUUUAUUUAUGCUUCCACAUAAAGUUUCUUGGUGUACCUUAAAUUGAAAGUGCGGGCAUUAGUGAAUAAAUAUUCACAAUUUUGGUAAGCUCAAAUAGAACUAUACCUGCAUUUGUCUAAGGUAACCUCAAAUACUCUUUUUUGUCCAUUAACUUCUAAAAUAUAGUUUUUCUUUUAUAAUAAUGUCUAUUUUGUGAUGAAGUUCCUUAAUAAAGUUAGUAAUAUACAAUUUUGUGUUUUAGCGGUUUCUUUAUUCUUGCUACUAGAAAGCAUUUUUUGUACUGGUGUUUAUAAUCCUCUUACUGAUAGUGUGCAUAUAAGAUAUGGAAGAUUAGUUCCUUGAAUCAACAGUUUUGAUUCAUGAGGAGAAUCAUAAACACAUGGCUGCAUUUAAAUUGCAGAAAGUAUACAAUAGUUUUUGCACGUGAGGAAGGCUGGCCGAUUAUGCAAUUCUUAUUGAACAAAGUGGGUCAAGACUAUUCGACAAGGUUAUCUCUCGAAGCGUUCCUCAAACUUAAGGGGGACUGGAAAAGGAGGUUUUUUCGUUCUUGAUAGCCGGGGAAAGUUGUAUUACUACCGUAAACAAUGCAGCAAACUAUUUGGGUCUAGUAGCCAACAUUUUGGUCAGAGGAAUAGUUUGGAGCUUGGUUUUGGACUUCUAAGUCGACAAAGAACUACACUUUACAAAUAGUGCACUAGACCAAAUGGACUGGAUUGAAAAAAUCACAGUUUGUUGAAUGAAGGAUUGUUUCUAAGUGGAUAAGAGGCUUGGAGUUCACCAAUCUAAUGUAGAACGUCUUCUGUGACAUGGUUCAGGGGAAGGCACAUGGUGCUAUAAUGUAGUGGAAGUUUCCUAUCCGUAUUGUUUAUCAUGGCCAAAUUGUGAAGGUGGUUUAUAUGACGACGAUGUGCACGUACACGCGGUUGCAAGCAUUAAAGUUUGCUUUGGAAUUGGGGGAUGUUUUUUUAUAGAAUUGGAUCUCAAGGUAUACCAUGAGUAAUUCAAGUGUGAAAUUAGAUGAUCUAUAUAGUUGAUUUUCUAUAUUGCUUUGUUGUCUAAGAGCUUGUAAGCAUCUUGUUUGUUUUGCUACACUUUUUAAUGUAAUAGUUUUAUGUUUAGUGUGUUAACUCAAAGCAAUUUUGAUGUAAACUUGUGAUAAUCAAUUACUUGAUAUGUUUAGUAAAAUAAUGUGUGGGGAUGUUGCGUGUUUUAGAUUUUGUUAUAUUGAUAUUAAUGGGAAUCAAGAGUGUUAAAU